ACGACCCUUCGGGUUAGUGGCGCACGGGUGCGUAACGCGUGGGGAUCUGCCCUUUGCUUCGGAAUAACAGUUAGAAAUGACUGCUAAUACCGGAUGAUGUCGAAAGACCAAAGAUUUAUCGGCAAAGGAUGAACCCGCGUAGGAUUAGCUAGUUGGUGGGGUAAAGGCCUACCAAGGCGACGAUCCUUAGCUGGUCUGAGAGGAUGAUCAGCCACACUGGGACUGAGACACGGCCCAGACUCCUACGGGAGGCAGCAGUGGGGAAUAUUGGACAAUGGGCGAAAGCCUGAUCCAGCAAUGCCGCGUGAGUGAUGAAGGCCUUAGGGUUGUAAAGCUCUUUUACCAGGGAUGAUAAUGACAGUACCUGGAGAAUAAGCUCCGGCUAACUCCGUGCCAGCAGCCGCGGUAAUACGGAGGGAGCUAGCGUUGUUCGGAAUUACUGGGCGUAAAGCGCACGUAGGCGGCGACNUCAAGUCAGAGGUGAAAGCCCGGGGCUCAACCCCGGAACUGCCUUUGAAACUAGGUUGCUAAAAUCUUGGAGAGGUCAGUGGA
rnacentral:rRNA from 1 species